CGAAGACGAACUCCGAUGUUUUAUUAGUCUGCUUUUGAUUCCCCUACUACCAAUAGCAGCAAGAGAGGAAAGUCUUCACAGCAAAAGAAACAAUCUGCAUCAACAACACCACAAGAACAUGUACAAGAAGGAACUUCAGCUCCUACAUCACCAAAGCCUGGACCAUCUGGAGUGAGUACCCGAACUC